GUCUUCACGCAGAAAGCGUCUAGCCAUGGCGUUAGUAUGAGUGUCGUGCAGCCUCCAGGACCCCCCCUCCCGGGAGAGCCAUAGUGGUCUGCGGAACCGGUGAGUACACCGGAAUUGCCAGGACGACCGGGUCCUUUCGUGGAUCAACCCGCUCAAUGCCUGGAGAUUUGGGCGUGCCCCCGCGAGACUGCUAGCCGAGUAGUGUUGGGUCGCGAAAGGCCUUGUGGUACUGCCUGAUAGGGUGCUUGCGAGUGCCCCGGGAGGUCUCGUAGACCGUGCAUCAUGAGCACACUUC
rfam:Hepatitis C virus subtype 6e N12-2804-Cam gene for polyprotein, complete cds